AUUGAACGCUCGCGGCAGGCCUAACACAUGCAAGUCGAGCGGUAGCACAGGGAGCUUGCUCCUGGGUGACGAGCGGCGGACGGGUGAGUAAUGUCUGGGAAACUGCCUGAUGGAGGGGGAUAACUACUGGAAACGGUAGCUAAUACCGCAUAACGUCGCAAGACCAAAGAGGGGGACCUUCGGGCCUCUUGCCAUCAGAUGUGCCCAGAUGGGAUUAGCUAGUAGGUGGGGUAACGGCUCACCUAGGCGACGAUCCCUAGCUGGUCUGAGAGGAAGACCAGCCACACUGGAACUGAGACACGGUCCAGGCUCCUACGGGAGGCAGCAGUGGGGAAUAUUGCACAAUGGGCGCAAGCCUGAUGCAGCCAUGCCGCGUGUAUGAAGAAGGCCUUCGGGUUGUAAAGUACUUUCAGCGGGGAGGAAGGCGAUAAGGUUAAUAACCUUGUCGAUUGACGUUACCCGCAGAAGAAGCACCGGCUAACUCCGUGCCAGCCGCCGCAGUAAGAC
rnacentral:rRNA from 1 species